rnacentral:rRNA from 1 species
UACGUAGGGGGCAAGCGUUGUUCGGAUUUACUGGGCGUAAAGCGCGUGUAGGCGGCCAGGUAGGUCCGCUGUGAAAACUCGAGGCUCAACCUCGAGACGUCGGCGGAAACCAUCUGGCUAGAGUCCGGAAGAGGAGAGUGGAAUUCCUGGUGUAGCGGUGAAAUGCGCAGAUAUCAGGAAGAAUAUCCGUGGCGAAGGCGGCUCUCUGGGACGGUACUGACGCUGAGACGCGAAAGCGUGGGGAGCGAACAGG